rnacentral:lncRNA from 1 species
CUUAUAUACAUAUGUUGUAUAAUAAUAAUAAUAAUAAUAAUAAUCCUUCGCAGGAUGAAUUUUCUGGGGGAACAAACACAUUUGGCCAGACACCAUCCUUUUAUAUUUAUGAUAUUAAAUAUAAUAUUAAAAUUAAUUGCAAUAACACUGGCAAACAUCAUUACAGCACAUAGGAAUGCCAACUCGACACAUUCUUUCACAUGGCGACCCAUCGGGACCACACGACUGGUUGUUGAUUAAGGAGCCUUUGUCAGCCAAAACAGAUGAGAUAAACAAACCUGAAAAUUACAGCAGAUUCCAAUAGAGAUAAACCCGGGAAUUAGAUGAUGGUAAUUAGAGUGCUAGCCAUUGAGACAAACAAAAGACUACGUACCAGACAUGGAAACCAAUAACAUGACCAUGAACACCAUCUUCAAAUUUUGCUCCAUCUUUUAAAGGAUCGUUUUGUAAAAGCAAACCCAAAGGAGUUAGUUUUAAUCUGCAUCAAAGUAAUCUCUUAUGCGUCAUAUAUAUAUGCGUCAUAUCUUCUAUCAAAAUUAAAUUGUAAUAAGUGCUUAUCAAAAUGGUCAAAUAUAUUGUUCCAAACAUGGAUAUUUACAGUAUAAACAUUUGAGGGUAACACAGAGAAGAAUUUGUAAUAGUGGAGAUUCCGUUAGAGAUUUAUGAAGGAAAGUUAAAACAUUAACCUAUAGAGAACAAAUAAUGAUUAGAGGGUGAACAAAAUUAAUGGACGUGCUCAUUAUAUCUCUUCACGCAAUGUUGAUUUCUUAGAUUGGAAUUAUCUGUAAGUACCACAAGCCCACAACUUAUAUACAUAUGUUGUAUAAUAAUAAUAAUAAUAAUAAUAAUCCUUCGCAGGAUGAAUUUUCUGGGGGAACAAACACAUUUGGCCAGACACCAUCCUUUUAUAUUUAUGAUAUUAAAUAUAAUAUUAAAAUUAAUUGCAAUAACACUGGCAAACAUCAUUACAGCACAUAGGAAUGCCAACUCGACACAUUCUUUCACAUGGCGACCCAUCGGGACCACACGACUGGUUGUUGAUUAAGGAGCCUUUGUCAGCCAAAACAGAUGAGAUAAACAAACCUGAAAAUUAAAGCAGAUUCCAAUAGAGAUAAACCCGGGAAUUAGAUGAUGGUAAUUAGAGUGCUAGCCAUUGAGACAAACAAAAGACUACGUACCAGACAUGGAAACCAAUAACAUGACCAUGAACACCAUCUUCAAAUUUUGCUCCAUCUUUUAAAGGAUCGUUUUGUAAAAGCAAAACCAAAGGAGUUUGUUUUAAUCUGCAUCAAAGUAAUCUCUUAUGCGUCAUAUAUAUAUGCGUCAUAUCUUCUAUCAAAAUUAAAUUGUAAUAAGUGCUUAUCAAAAUGGUCAAAUAUAUUGUUCCAAACAUGGAUAUUUUUACACUAAGCUAUCUAAAGGAUUGAUGAUCAUUCCAAAUUUAACAAAACUAAAGAAUAUCAGUUUUCUUAUUAAAAUUAAAAUUGUUAAUAAAUAAAAGAAGAAAUCAAUAUAUAAUAUCUGUGUGGUUAAUUUGUUACUAUGUUAAUUAGCAGUAACUUUAAUUCCCUGAUGAAGAAGCCUAACCCCAUAGCCUAAGGAGUAACCAGUUCUUAAAAAUAGUCAACUAUCGUCCAUUUCUAGCCCACCGGUUGAACCUGCUGGCCACCAGGCUGAAAAUAAAAUUAGGCCCAGACCUGCAGAUAUGGCUUAUGAUUCGGCUAUUAGCUUCCCUCCUCUACUGUUUGUUUCAAAUGUACAUAUGUAGUCUCACGUGAAUAAAGCAUAUGUUAACAAUAACGCUGACAAAAAAAAACUAUAUGCUAUAAGUAAAGGUGCACCAGCAAACCGGUUUUUAAAAAUCCGCCCAAAAAUAGCCUCCUGAAAUUCAAAACUAAUUAUACAAUUUUAGAUGGAGUCCAAAUAGCAGCUUCAUAUUUGGAAUUAUUAGAUGCUACGUACCUACAGCGAUUAAAUCCAUAAUUAAUCUUAUAAAUAAAUACACAAAUAUACAACACUUAAUUAAAUUACAAAAUGGACAAAUAUAUCAAAGUAAAAUUAACACAAAAGAUUUAUAGUUGAGGAUGGGGUGGCUCAGCCUCCUAAAAUUCAUAGUAUAUAGGGAUAGUAGGUUAUCCUUUAUUUGUCGAUAACUAGACCAUUAUACCUGUACACAACUUUAAAUUGUAAAACCAUUGAAUUACAUAUAUCAUAUAUAAGAAAACGAAUUGCUCCCCCAGAACGAUUUAGCAUCAUAUAAAAAUGUUAAGCAUU